CCUACGGGGGGCAGCAGUGGGGAAUAUUGGACAAUGGGGGCAACCCUGAUCCAGCCAUGCCGCGUGUGUGAAGAAGGCCCUCGGGUUGUAAAGCACUUUCAGUGAGGAAGAACGCCUGGUGGUUAAUACCCAUCAGGAAAGACAUCACUCACAGAAGAAGCACCGGCUAACUCCGUGCCAGCAGCCGCGGUAAUACGGAGGGUGCGAGCGUUAAUCGGAAUUACUGGGCGUAAAGCGCGCGUAGGUGGCUUGAUAAGCCGGUUGUGAAAGCCCCGGGCUCAACCUGGGAACGGCAUCCGGAACUGUCAAGCUAGAGUGCAGGAGAGGAAGGUAGAAUUCCCGGUGUAGCGGUGAAAUGCGUAGAGAUCGGGAGGAAUACCAGUGGCGAAGGCGGCCUUCUGGACUGACAAUGACACUGAGGUGCGAAAGCGUGGGUAGCAAACAGGAUUAGAUACCCUUGUAGUC
rnacentral:rRNA from 1 species